UACGUAGGGGGCGAGCGUUGUCCGGAUUUAUUGGGCGUAAAGAGCUCGUAGGCGGUUCGGUAAGUCGGAUGUGAAAUCUCCACGCUCAACGUGGAGGGGCCAUUCGAUACUGCCGGGACUCGAGUCCGGUAGGGGAGUGUGGAAUUCCCGGUGUAGCGGUGAAAUGCGCAGAGAUCGGGAGGAACACCCAUAGCGAAGGCGGCACUCUGGGACGGUACUGACGCUGAGGAGCGAAAGCGUGGGGAGCGAACAGG
rnacentral:rRNA from 1 species